rnacentral:rRNA from 1 species
AUUGAACGCUGGCGGCAUGCCUUACACAUGCAAGUCGAACGGUAACAGGUCUUCGGAUGCUGACGAGUGGCGAAUGGGUGAGUAAUACAUCGGAACGUGCCUAGUAGUGGGGGAUAACUACUCGAAAGAGUGGCUAAUACCGCAUGAGAUCUACGGAUGAAAGCAGGGGAUCGCAAGACCUUGUGCUACUAGAGCGGCCGAUGGCAGAUUAGGUAGUUGGUGGGAUAAAAGCUUACCAAGCCGACGAUCUGUAGCUGGUCUGAGAGGACGAUCAGCCACACGGGGACUGAGACACGGCCCAGACUCCUACGGGAGGCAGUAGUGGGGAAUUUUGGACAAUGGGCGCAAGCCUGAUCCAGCAAUGCCGCGUGCAGGAUGAAGGCCUUCGGGUUGUAAACUGCUUUUGUACGGAACGAAAAGCCCUGGGUUAAUACCCUGGGGUCAUGACGGUACCGUAAGAAUAAGCACCGGCUAACUACGUGCCAGCCGCCGGCGUAACAC